rnacentral:rRNA from 1 species
GCAAGGCUAAAACUCAAAUGAAUUGACGGGGGCCCGCACAAGCGGUGGAGCAUGUGGUUUAAUUCGAUGCAACGCGAAGAACCUUACCUACCCUUGACAUCCAGAGAAUCUGUUAGAGAUAGUAGAGUGCCUUCGGGAACUCUGAGACAGGUGCUGCAUGGCUGUCGUCAGCUCGUGUUGUGAAAUGUUGGGUUAAGUCCCGUAACGAGCGCAACCCUUAUCCUUAGUUGCCAGCACGUAAUGGUGGGAACUCUAGGGAGACUGCCGGUGAUAAACCGGAGGAAGGUGGGGACGACGUCAAGUCAUCAUGGCCCUUAUGGGUAGGGCUACACACGUGCUACAAUGGCCAGUACAGAGGGCUGCGAACUUGCGAAAGUAAGCGAAUCCCAGAAAGCUGGUCUUAGUCCGGAUUGGAGUCUGCAACUCGACUCCAUGAAGUUGGAAUCGCUAGUAAUCGCGAAUCAGAAUGUCGCGGUGAAUACGUUCCCGGGCCUUGUACACACCGCCCGUCACACCAUGGGAGUGGGUUGCAAAAGAAGUGGGUAGACUAACCUUCGGGAGGUCGCUCACCACUUUGUGAUUCAUGACUGGGGUGAAGUCGUAACAAGGUA